rnacentral:lncRNA from 1 species
CAAAUAGUUGGAAUGGAAGUCAUCCAUUUUGAUUUCGAUUUCAGACCCCCACUCUCUCCAACCAAACACCCUCAUAAUGUAUACAAAGUAAAAUAUAGAAACAAAUAAUAUCUUAAGUAAUAAAAAGGAGAGAUACAAAAAAAUUUCUAUAUAUCUAUAGCUACCCAUCAUCAAUCAUCCAUCACUUUUUAUGCUCCCGCCAAUAUCCACCAC